rnacentral:rRNA from 1 species
AUUGAACGCUGGCGGCAUGCUUUACACAUGCAAGUCGAACGGUAACAGGCCUUCGGGUGCUGACGAGUGGCGAACGGGUGAGUAAUGCAUCGGAACGUGCCCAGAGGUGGGGGAUAACGCAGCGAAAGCUGUGCUAAUACCGCAUGUGAUCUGAGGAUGAAAGCAGGGGACCAAGCAGCAAUGUUUGGCCUCGCGCCUCUGGAGCGGCCGAUGUCAGAUUAGGUAGUUGGGGGGGUAAAGGCCUACCAAGCCGACGAUCUGUAGCUGGUCUGAGAGGACGACCAGCCACACUGGGACUGAGACACGGCCCAGACUCCUACGGGAGGCAGCAGUGGGGAAUUUUGGACAAUGGGCGCAAGCCUGAUCCAGCAAUGCCGCGUGCGGGAAGAAGGCCUUCGGGUUGUAAACCGCUUUUGUACGGAACGAAAAGGCUCUGGCUAAUACCUGGGGCUGAUGACGGUACCGUAAGAAUAAGCACCGGCUAACUACGUG